rnacentral:rRNA from 1 species
CCUACGGGUGGCAGCAGUGGGGAAUAUUGGGCAAUGGGCGCAAGCCUGACCCAGCAACGCCGCGUGAAGGAAGAAGGCUUUCGGGUUGUAAACUUCUUUUGUCAGGGAAGAGUAGAAGACGGUACCUGACGAAUAAGCCACGGCUAACUACGUGCCAGCAGCCGCGGUAAUACGUAGGUGGCAAGCGUUGUCCGGAUUUAAUGGGUGUAAAGGGCGUGUAGCCGGGUUGACAAGUCAGAUGUGAAAUCCUGCGGCUUAACCGCAGAACUGCAUUUGAAACUGUAGAUCUUGAGUACUGGAGAGGCAGGUGGAAUUCCAGGUGUAGCGGUGAAAUGCGUAGAGAGAAGGAGGAACACCAGUGGCGAAGGCGGUCUGCUGGUCAGCAACUGACGGUGAGGUGCGAAAGCGUGGGGAGCAAACAGGAUUAGAUACCCGUGUAGUC